GUGCUCACUUCAGCAGCAUAUAUACUAAAACUGGAAUGAUAGAGAAGAUUAGCAUGGCCCCUGUGGAAGGAUGACACACAAAUUCAUAAAGCGUUCCAUAGUUUU
ensembl:snRNA U6 U6 spliceosomal RNA